AGCAGCUGUUGCUGAUUGGCUUCGUUUAGUGGGAGCGGUAUAUAAAGGAGACACAGAGGGAUCUCUAGCAAGGCCUGAGCUUCUCUCAAUGCUAGUUAGUCCCAGUGAGCUGCACGUCUCCAACCAGAGCGUCUGAGGUGAACAGGGUGCUGCCUUUCUGCUGAUAGCCAUGGCUCUUGGACUCAUUCUGCGGGUUUCCUGGAUUUGUUUUUUGCUGUUUGAUGGCAGUGCUGGAUUACCAUUUAAAGGUUAUGGAUAUCGAGUUAAAAAUGACUUGC